rnacentral:rRNA from 1 species
AGCGAACGCUGGCGGCAGGCCUAAUACAUGCAAGUCGAACGAAGCCUUCGGGCUUAGUGGCGGACGGGUGAGUAACACGUGGGAACGUACCCUUUGGUUCGGAACAACUCAGGGAAACUUGAGCUAAUACCGAAUGUGCCCCCAUCCUUAACAAGAUGGGUGGGAAAGAUUUAUCGCCAUUGGAGCGGCCCGCGUCUGAUUAGCUAGUUGGUGAGGUAAAGGCCCACCAAGGCUACGAUCAGUAGCUGGUCUGAGAGGAUGAUCAGCCACACUGGGACUGAGACACGGCCCAGACUCCUACGGGAGGCAGCAGUAGGGAAUCUUGCGCAAUGGGCGAAAGCCUGACGCAGCCAUGCCGCGUGAAUGAUGAAGGUCUUAGGAUUAGUAAAAUUUCUUUCAGGCGGGGACGAUAAUGACGGUACCCGCAGAAGAACGCCCCGGCUAACUUCGUGCCAGC